rnacentral:lncRNA from 1 species
AGAGAGGAAGAAUCAUAGGUGGAACCGUGAAAGAGAAAGAGAGUACGAAGAGAGAGAGAGAGUGAAAGUAAGAAUAGGAAACUCAUGGCACACAAUCUAUAAUAAUUUACACUUCCAUUAAAUCAAGUGCAGUUUCGUAAUUUUGGUUAGGUUUGAGGGUAUUAAGCUAAAUGUCUCUUAAUAUAAAUGACCAAAAUUAUUUACGUAAAAUUAUUUCUAUAAAUGCUUAAAAAACAUAUACCAAGUGUGUAUAAUAAAAUCAAAAUAAAUGUGAAUAAAGAAUAAAUGAUUUUGGU